rnacentral:tRNA from 2 species
GGGGAUGUAGCUCAGUGCUACAGUACUUGCCUGGCAUGUGCAAGGCCCUGGGUUUGAUUUCCAGCAUCACCC